UUAUUAGUCUCUAGAGUUAUCUAUAGAAAAAUUUGUAUUGUAAUUCUAUUAAUAUGGUAAAAGAUUAUAUCAUAUUAUGGUCUCGUAAUUUUUUCCGUUUUGAGUUUUUCACGUAAAAUAUGGGUCUCUUAUAGUUGGUUUAUUAAUUUGGAUUGUGUUGAUUUAUUUUUGCCUUAUUAAUAAAUGAUAUACAUCUCAUUUUAAUCAUUUAAUCACACAAAGAAGUAAAAAAUUUUGUUUCCGCUUAAUUUACAACCGUUUGUGUGAGUUCCUUUCCCAAUAGGAACAUAAGCCGAUCGACUUGUCUUUUCAAACUCAAAGAUUAUGACCCUCUGCAGCAGCUGGAACCAAUUUGCUGAAGUUAACUUCUUGAGCGAAAGAAUGUUUCCUGUAUGAAUGAAGAUCCUUGUGAGCCAGUAAUUUAAACAACAGCUCUCCCUCCUCCGUGGAGGAUAAUGUGUGAAAAUGCGUGAAUCCUUUUCAGGUCAAAAAUUAGAAGUGUAUCAUUAUGAUAAUCCUGAAAUAAGAAAAGGUGCACAAACACCUAUAGAAAAACGAAUUUCAAUAUUCUCCGAGGAUUCAAGCUUUGUUAUUCUCUUGCCCACUCAUUCUUGUCAUAAUCUUUUCAGCAGAAACAUCAUUGGAUGAAAAUUUGAUAAUAGCCAGGGAUCCUCUCAGAUUUGUUAGGAAAUUGGUGGGUGAAACAGGACCGCAGCUAAAAUAAAAUUAAAAGAAACAAAGAAUAAGCACAAAAGAAAAUACCAGAAAUUACGUGGUUCGGCUUUUAGCCUACGUCCACGGGUGAAGACAGAAAUAAAUAUUAUACUAGUGAAAAUGAGUUACAAGUAUUGUAGUAUUUUAGCUCACUACCCAAAAUCCCAAUACACCCAAACUCUCAAAUCACUAAGCACACAAAAUUCUUUGCUCUUGCAAGAAUCACUUCUCACAACUCUCAACUCUCUCUACAAAAUUAGAUGCAAAUGAAUUAGGGAGCUCUCCUUUUUAUAGCCAAAAAAUGGCUAUUAAAAUAAUAUAUUUUUUUUCAUUUUUCUUUCAUUUGGUAUACCAACCACCAUCUCCAUUUUUUUCUUUCUCUCUUUUCUUUAUUUCUUUGGGUGGCUGUCAAAGCCAAUUUGAUUUUGGCUAGGCCACCACCGGCCCAAAGAAAUAAACAAAAGAGAGAAAGAAAAUACCAGAAAUUACGUGGUUCGGCUUUUAGCCUACGUCCACGGGCGAAGACAGAAAUAAAUAUUAUACUAGUGAAAAGGAGUUACAAAUAUUGUAGUAUUUUAGCUCACUACCCAAAAUCCCAAUACACCCAAACUCUCAAAUCACUAAGCACACAAAAUUCUUUGCUCUUGCAAGAAUCACUUCUCACAACUCUCAACUCUCUCUACAAAAUUAGAUGCAAAUGAAUUAGGGAGCUCUCCUUUUUAUAGCCAAAAAAUGGCUAUUAAAAUAAUAUAUUUUUUUUCAUUUUUCUUUCAUUUGGUAUACCAACCACCAUCUCCAUUUUUUUCUUUCUCUCUUUUGUUUAUUUCUUUGGGUGGCUGUCAAAGCCAAUUUGAUUUUGGCUAGGCCACCACCGGCCCAAAGAAAUAAACAUGGUUUUGGCAGCCGCCCAAAGAAAUAAACAAAAGAGAGAAAGAAAAUACCAGAAAUUACGUGGUUCGGCUUUUAGCCUACGUCCACGGGCGAAGACAGAAAUAAAUAUUAUACUAGUGAAAAGGAGUUACAAGUAUUGUAGUAUUUUAGCUCACUACCCAAAAUCCCAAUACACCCAAACUCUCAAAUCACUAAGCACACAAAAUUCUUUGCUCUUGCAAGAAUCACUUCUCACAGCUCGCAACUCUCUCUACAAAAUUGAAUGCAAAUGAAUUAGGAGCUCUCCUUUUUAUAGCCAAAAAAUGGCUAUUAAAAUAAUAUAUUUUUUUUCAUUUUUCUUUCAUUUGGUAUACCAACCACCAUCUCCAUUUUUUUCUUUCUCUCUUUUGUUUAUUUCUUUGGGUGGUUGUCAAAGCCAAUUUGAUUUUGGCUAGGCCACCACCGGCCCAAAGAAAUAAACAUGGUUUUGGCAGCCGCCCAAAGAAAUAAACAAAAGAGAGAAAGAAAAUACCAGAAAUUACGUGGUUCGGCUUUUAGCCUACGUCCACGGGCGAAGACAGAAAUAAAUAUUAUACUAGUGAAAAAGAGUUACAAGUAUUGUAGUAUUUUAGCUCACUACCCAAAACCCCAAUACACCCAAACUCUCAAAUCACUAAGCACACAAAUUUCUUUGCUCUUGCAAGAAUCACUUCUCACAGCUCGCAACUCUCUCUACAAAAUUGAAUGCAAAUGAAUUAGGAGCUCUCCUUUUUAUAGCCAAAAAAUAGCUAUUAAAAUAAUAUAUUUUUUUUCAUUUUUCUUUCAUUUGGUAUACCAACCACCAUCUCCAUUUUUUUCUUUCUUUCUUUUGUUUAUUUCUUUGGGCGGCUGCCAAAACCAUGUUUAUUUCUUUGGGUGGCUGCCAAAGCCAAUUUUAUUUUGGCUAGGCCACCACCGGCUUUGACAAGAUUAACCAACUUAACCCUUUUCAUUGUUUUCAAGUCCAAUGUUCGGACGAGAAGUCACCUUGAAUUCCACUUUCUUGAAUUCCGAUGUUCGGUAGCAUCAAAAGGUUUUCAAUCCAUGGCAAAUAUCUUCAAUUAAUAAGAAACCGUAAGCAACCUGAGAGAGAGAAUAGACUUCUUCCCACAGCUAGACCGGAGCUUUAAGAUUAGAUUCGGAUACUCGUCACUCUCCUUGACACCGUUAUCAUCAUCGUAUAUAAGUGAACGCAAGGGAGUAUAAGCACCUAAUUUAGGACAGGGAGAAACCAGGAUUUGCGGUUGUUCUUCAGCUGAACAAGUAACAUGCUUGAUAGCAAAAGAAACGCUGUCAAUUGGGUCAACCCAGAACUUGGAGACAUUGCGGAACCGCUAGAGCGAAUAACGGGGAGUCUCAGAAAGAUUUCGUAGACGAUCUCUCAAGGAAUGCACGGACUUUGACAUUUUGUGACUUCUAUUAUUCUUUGAUCUGUAAAAAUUAUUCGAGUAUCACAUAUAUUUGUGGGCAAUUCCGAAGGUAUUUGUAUCAGACCUAGCAGACAUAUAUGUGAUCUCAUAAUUCUAUUAUGGGAUGCGAAAUUUAUAUUAUUUUAAUUAUUUUCAGCAAGUAUUUUAAUUUUUGUCAAUUAUCUAAGUCUUUUCUAUUAUUAUCUACGUACGAGUUUUUUUAGUCUAGUGAAUUUAUUCAAUUAUAGAUAGUGUUUGAUAGUCUUUCAAUAAUAAAAAAACCCUCUUUUAUAGUUUCUUUCGAAAUUAUCUAUCAAAAUUUCCUUAAUUAUAUCAUAGAGAUUUUGAUAUAUAAUUUAAAGAGAGUUUUUCUCACAUUCUUGGUAUUUCUUCUGAUCAUAAUAAUCAAUGUAUUAAGUAGAUGAAAUAUAUCCCCUCUGUCCAAGAGUCAAAUAAAAAUCGGAAGGGCAAAUUUAAUAGGAAGAAUGAAUGCUGGGUUCAUAAGAUGAUAGUGAAUACAGCGUCUUGGAAGAUUCCGUAUUGGAAAAAUAAAUAAUCACAAGCGGUUUGCAGGAGGUUGAAGUGCAUAUGAUCCUGCUGAGAUCGUCCAACAAAUCUUCCUGAGACUGCCUGUCAAAACACUUUUGAUUUUCCAUCGUGCCUCCAAGAUCUGGCACAUUGCUUCAGCAGCUCAACAACCAAAUUUUGUAUUCUUCCAGUACUCUUGCUGAUUAAAGGUGGCAAUCAUCUGCAUUCCCUUAUAUAUGACGGUAAUUCAUCAAAGAAAGUGCGUAUUUGAAUACAAUAUUAAGUGUGUUAUAUUAGUGAAAAAGAACGCCAUGUUCCCUGACAAAGUACAAGGGUGAAAAUUUAUUUAUUUGGCUAAUUUGGGAUCAAGAACAAUACACUGUAAUUCUUGUAGGUAAAAACC
rnacentral:lncRNA from 1 species